rnacentral:antisense_RNA from 1 species
CUUGAGGGAGCCGAGGUGGAGGGGACGGCCGUGCGGCCGUUCCUGCCCGUAGGUGGCCAGCAGCGCCUGUGCCUC